AGAUGUUCGGUUAAGUCCGCUAACGAGCGCAACCUCGCUGUGUGUUACAAGUGUCACACGGAACUGCCGGUCAUAAACCGGAGGAAGGUGGGGAUGACGUCAAGUCAGCAUGGCCUUUAUAUCCUGGGCUACACACACGCUACAAUGGGAAGGGACAAUAGGUUGCGAAACCGCGAGGUGGAGCCAAUCCAGCAAAACUUCCCUCAGUUCAGAUUGCAGGCUGCAACUCGCCUGCAUGAAGUUGGAGUUGCUAGUAAACGCAGGUCAGCCAUACUGCGUUGAAUACGUUCCCGGGCUU
rnacentral:rRNA from 1 species